CGUAGGUGGCAAGCGUUGUCCGGAGUUUAUUGGGUUUAAAGGGUGCGUAGGCGGUCUUGUAAGUCAGUGGUGAAAUACGGCAGCUUAACUGUCGAGGUGCCAUUGAUACUGCAGGACUUGAGUACAGACGAGGUAGGCGGAAUUGACGGUGUAGCGGUGAAAUGCUUAGAUAUCGUCAAGAACACCGAUAGCGAAGGCAGCUUACUAGACUGUAACUGACGCUGAUGCACGAAAGUGUGGGGGAUCAAACAGGAUUAGAUACCCUGGUAGUCCACACUGUAAACGAUGAUUACUCGAUGUUGGCGAUACACAGCCAGCGUCUUAGCGAAAGCGAUAAGUAAUCCACCUGGGGAGUACGCCGGCAACGGUG
rnacentral:rRNA from 1 species